CUGUCAGCAGUAGCGUGGUUCGUUUGUACGCGAUAAGACCCAACCUUUGCGUCCUACAUUAUUAUUAUCCACCAGGCCACAUGAGAGAAACUGUGGAUUACUGCGUUAAACCCCACAUGCUGCAUUUACAAAUAAGCAGAAAUCACUCACUGUCAGUUUUCUGAAGAUCAUUGUGUUGUUACCAGGAAAUGCAGCAUUGGGUUUAAAAAAAACUACAUUUAGUAGUUCUUUAUGGAUAGCUUUAUGACCUUUUUCUGACUAAAAGACUUAACUGAUACAAAGCAAUUUUACUAAACUAAACAGAGUUGGCAAACCUGGUGUACAAGUCAUUAAAACAAAAGUGAUCCUCUACAUAUUAGCCAAAAUUCUGACUCACACAUCUGAGUUGUGUUCCCAUGAGGCAGAUCUAUCACUCAAUUACAGAUACUCCACAUCUCAACUCAUCGUGUGUGUGUAAACCACACCUGUCCACAUGUACAGUCCACAUUAUGCAUUGGGGCUGUUUUUCUGCUAAGGGUACAGCAAAACUUCACCACACUGAGUGGCCAAUGGACGAGGCCAUGUGCUGUAUAAUCUUGGCUAAGAACCUCCUUCCUUCAACCAGAGUACUGAAGGUGGGUCCUUAAGUCAUGGAGUGGCCUUAUCGGUCUUGUGACCAAUGUUAAAUAGAAAAUGACCAAAAUGGUGACUUGCUAUAAGAAACAUCUUACUGUUGUGCUUGCCAACAAGAGUUUCUUCUUGUUUUGCUUGGGAGUCAAUGGCGGCACGGUGAACAGCACCGUUACCUCACAGCAAGAAGGUCCUGAGUUUGAUUCCACCCCCUGGCCAGGGCCUUUCUGUGUGGAGUUUGCAUGUUCUGUGUUUGCGUGGGUUCUCUCCGGAUACUCUGCCUUCCUCCCCCAGAAUGUGGAGUGAAUGGUCGUCUCUUUCUGUGUUAGCCCUGCGACAGCCUGACGACCUGUCCAGGGUGUACCCUACCUCUCACCAUAUUGUAACUGGGAUAGGCUCCAGCCUAUAUUUUUAAAUGCACUAUCAUUUACAUAUAAUUUCCACUUAGUGAUGAACAGAAAUGGACUUUCAGUCCUUCAUUGUACAUUUUAUGUUAACAUUUUGUGGAGAUGGUAAGGUAGGUUGUGUCUACUAGCAGCACAGUCAUGUUGCUAGUAGACUUUCCUGAGGAGUAUCGAAUCCAAUAGUAAUUUUCUAUUAUCGCUUAGUUUCUGAGUUUUUUUGGACAGCAAAAUAUGUUUAUCGACUAAUAUCUGGCCGAUAUCAAGUGCUACAGAAAUGAUGUUGUUCACUUCCUGAAGAGGAUUGCAGUAUCUUGACAGAAAAAACAAACUGCAGAUAAUAAACUAAUAAAUAGUUUAUGGUACUUACAUUCUUGUUUGUUCAACAAGGAGACGUCCACAAAAUGAUGUCACUUUUAUGAAACUUGAAGCAUAAAUGUAAUCAGCACAGGUAAAACAUUAACGUUAUGCUGUAAAUAAACUACACCCUGUUCAUGACUUUAAUGUCACAGCUUCCACGUUUAGUGUGGUGAAAUUUAAUGACGAGUUUUUAGUCUCAUUUAACACCCACAUGUAGGAAUAAAUACAAAUAAAA